AGAGUUUGAUCCUGGCUCAGAACGAACGCUGGCGGCAGGCUUAACACAUGCAAGUCGAACGCCCCGCAAGGGGAGUGGCAGACGGGUGAGUAACACGUGGGAACAUGCCCUUCGGUUCGGAAUAACUCAGGGAAACUUGUGCUAAUACCGGAUACGUCCGCGAGGAGAAAGAUUUAUCGCCGAAGGAUUGGCCCGCGUCU
rnacentral:rRNA from 1 species